UUUUAUUCAUAAAGGAAUUCACCAUCAACUGAUAGGUAGCAUCCGUUAUUUUCUAUUCUCUCAACUCAGAUAAUCAUUCCAAAGACAAAGGUUUAGAUGCAUCCUCCAUUCCUCUGCACGUUUCAGUCUCAACCCAAUUUUUACUUCAAUAUUUAGCAAUCUCACGGGGUUCCUCCACUCCUUUUGUUUUCUACAAUUUUUUUUUUUUUUUGCUCUCUGAGAUACAUUUUUUCAUUUACAUAGAAGAAGCCAAUUUGCAUAGCAAAAGCGUCAAAAUUUUAGUGAAAAAUGACGUAAUUUGCAUUGAAGGUUGGCAAUAACAUUAAGCGAUUCUCCGUGCCCAUCAAAUAUGUUUUUCGUUUUGAUUGUGGCCUCGAACAAGUCGUUACAUUUUUUUUGAAUCAAUAAUUUCUUUUUAAGUAAAACAAUUUUUAAUUCAAAUUGUAAUCGUCGGUUAAGCUUCAAAGUUUAGGUUAUUCUUUUUUAGAUUCCUUCUCGGCCUUAGGGCUUGGAAUGUAGAUUAUUGUUGAUAAUAUCGAGAUCGGAGAAAAUACUGAGGGGAUGCAGCUUCCCUUGAGAUUGGGUAUCGAAAUUAAGUUGGGAAAUUAGGGUUUUGGAUUUAACUAGAGAGAAACUUAAUUCCUUUGAGGCUUGGAAUUUUUCUCGGCCGGUGUUCAAUCCAAACAAAGAAGAAGGUUUCGGAGAAUUGGUUGGCGGAAGACAAAUUGGAAUGCGUAAAGAACUUGGAGACCUUCUGAAGUGGUAAACUGUAUUCUCGUUAUAGACUAUGGAUAAUGAUCUUGCAUGGAAGCGUAUAUUAAAGUUGUUGCAGCUUUUGUAAAAAAUAGGAAGUUUGAAUUCUUGAUUUAAUUAAAGUAGGGUUGAGGAAGGCAGCUCAAAUGGCAAAAUUGAUGCCUUGUAAAGCCUAUCACAUUUGGGGAAAUUAUUUUCUCCUCUGCAUCAGCAUAUCAAAGUUUCAUGGUUAAAUGGCAUCCUCAGUUGGUUACGCCUAACAAUGUUUUCCUUCUGCAAACAAUUCAUUGUAGAAAUUUACAGGUUUUGGAAAUCGGUCUAGUUACUUUUCUGGAUCUGGCUGAUGUCAUUUUGGCAGACAGAAUUUUCAACCUCUAUGAUGAAGCUCAAAUUGCUUGACUUGUUUGAGUAAAUUUAGAAGCAUUUGCAUUGUUGAAGAAAGACAACCUUUAGAAAGAUGCAAUGUAAAUCUCCAGUGGCUGGUGAUCAUGAACUUGUUAGCAAGUCGCUUGUUUGCUUUAUUGAAAAGGUAAUCACUCAUUCCAAAUAUGUAGAAAAGUUAUAUGCUGAUUGAUAAUGGUUUAUAAUAUGGAAUUUUUCUUGCCUGUUGAUCAAUCCAAACUAUGAAGAAUCUUUUGUAGAAUUGAUUGGCAGAAGGCAAAUGGGAAUGUGUGAGGAACUUAAAGACCUUAUGAGGUUUUAUUUCCACCACCUUAAUGAAUUUUAUCUAAAAUUUUUUUACUUAAACAAAUUGUGCAUUAUUUGACUUUUUUUUUUUUACUUUUUCUAAUGGUAAACUGUGUUCAGUUUAUAUAAUAUGGACAAUGAUCUUGCAUGAAAGUGUCUAUUAAAGUUGUUGUAGCUUUUGUAGAAAAUGAGGAGUUUGACAAAAUCUUGAUUAAUCAAAAUAGGUAAUUGCAAUUUUUUUUUUUUGAAUUUGUGCUGGUAUUUUCUAUGCUAUUAAUGUGAGCUUUCUCCUUUAAAAGCCUAUCAGAUUCAGGGAGAUUAUUGUCUCCUCUAGAUCAGCAUCAAAGAUUCAUUAUUAGAUGGCAUCCUCAAAUUGGUUACAAUGUCUUCCUUCUGCAAAAAAUUCCUUGUAGAAAUCUGCAGGUUAGUUACUGUUUUCUGCAGCUUUUAGUAUUUGAGGUUUGGAAGUUUGUGGAAUCAUAAGUACAACUGAUAAACAAGUUAAAAUUUGUUAAAUAUUUAAAUUAAAGCCUUUUAAGUCAAUUUUAUAAAUAUUCUUAUUAAGUUAAAAUUUAAUUUUAGCAUUUUCCAACCAAUAGAUGUUAGUAUUUUGAAUUCUUUUGAAGGGAUAGGAUUUUUGUAUGAAGAAACUAUGUUUCUUAGAAAGAUCAGUUGUCAUUUAAUGUUUUACUCGUAGAGAUCUAUUAAUUUUGCAUUGAUGAUAGGCGUGUUUUCUUGUUCCUCUAUUUCAUGCUUUAUUACUUGAUACUUACACAUUGAGGACAAUGUGUUGUUUAAAUUUAGAGGUAUAGGAAAAUUACUCAAAAUUUGAAAUUUUUUUUUGAAUUUUCCUUGAUUUUUGCCCUGAAAUUAAGCUUAAUAUGUAGUAGCUUGAAUUAGUACUAUGCUUUCUUUGAUUAGUUCUCCGUGAAGCCAAUGAUAUGUAGUGAUUGAGAAUGAAUAUAACUUUAGCAAAAGAUUGAAUAUGUGUGAAAUAUGAGAUGGUACUUAUGUCUAGUGAAUUCUUGAAUAUGGUAUUCAUUUGUGAGUGAUGCUUUUGAACAUUGGAUUGCAUUUUUUAUCUAGUGUUGAUUAUGUGAGCGUGAGAUUGUUUUUGCAUUGGUUUUUAGAGUUGUGUUUCAUGAUUCUAGAAUUAGUUUUGAUCAUUUCUCGAGGUGAAAUCCUAGAGGACAUAUGAUUAGGGAAAUGAUAUAGGUUAUUCUUGGAUCGUUUGAGCCUUUCAAGCAAACCUUGACAUAUUAUUUCCAUAAUCACCCCAUUUGAGCCUUAUGAUGCCUUUUCUUUGUUUUAAAACCACAUUACAAGCCCAUAGCCUUAUUUUGUAUAUUUCGUGUCUUUUUGGUCCCUUACCUUAUAUAUGCAUUAGGACAUUCAUCCUCUAUUUAUGAGCUAUGCAUUAUUAGGGAGGAAGGGUGGAGUUUGGACAAAGAAUCUGAAAAUAAAAAGAAAAAAAAAAACAAAAACAAAAACAAAAGAAAAAGAAAAAGUCAAUCUUACAAAAGAAAAAAAAAAGACAAAGAAAGAAAAAUAAAAAGUUGUGAAAAAGAAAAGUAAUAAAGUGGUGAAAAAGCAAAGAAAAUAAUAAAAGAAAGAAAAUUUGGUACAAUCAAAGUUUGGGGGGAUUCUUUAACAAGCUUACCUUUCUUACCUGGGAAGCUCAACCAUGGAUGAUCCUAGACAUGUGAUGCAUUGUUAGGGUACUUGAGCUUAAAUGACUUUUAUCAUAUUUUGACCCAAGCCUUACACUACAAGCUUAAUAAAGUCCUAAAUGAUCCUUGGUCCUGUGUUUAUCUACAUUAGUGGAGAGAGAUGUGAUAAGCAAACUUAUGGAGUAUGAGCAUGCUUUAUUGAUCUUGUUAUUAAAGUUUCAUGUUUUGCAUAACAUUACUAGAUUUCAUGCAAGGAUAUGUGAGAGGUGUUGCUUGCUUGUGGAACCAUAGUUAGGAAUGAUCUUAGCCUAGGUAGAUUCUUGUAUACUAGCACUUGUUCAUGAUUUUACUUUGGUUAUAUCCAUUGAUUAGUCUAUGAGGCAUUGAGAGUAUAGUAUGAUUCUUGCUCAAUCUUGUUUUGCUUGAGGACAAGCAAAAGCUUAAGUUUGGGGGUUUGAUUGCACUAAAAUUUUAACUUUUUCAUGCUUGUUUUUAUGCAGUUUUCCUUACAUUUUGGCUUGUUCCUUAGGAUUUUUGGAAAAACAUUUGUUUGUUGAAUUUGUACUGGCAUUUUCUAUGCUAUUAGUGUGAGAUUUCUCUUAUAAAAGCCUAUCAGAUUUGGAGUGAUUAUUUUCUCCUCUAGAUCAGCAUCAAAGAUUCAUAGUUAAAUUGCAUCAUCAGGUUUGUUACAAUGUCUUCCUUCUGCAAAAAAUUCCUUGUAGAAAUCUGUAGGUUAGUUACUGUUUUCUGCAGCUUUUAAUAUUUGAGAUUUGGAAGCUUGUGGAACCAUAAGUACUAUCAAUAGCCAAGUUAAAAUGUGUUAAAUAUUUAAAUUAAAGCCUUUUAAGUCAAUUUUAUAAAUAUUCCUAUUAAAUUGAAUUAUGUUUUUAGCAUUUUCAAACCAAUAGAUGUUAGCAUUUUGAAUUUUUUUUAUGGAAUAAGAUUUUUGUAGUUAACAUGGAGAAACCCUUUUUUAUAGGAAGAUCAGUUAUCAUUUAAUUGUUUACUUAGAGAUCUGCUAAUUUUGCAUUGAUGAUAUCUCAUAAGGAGGGAGGUUGUCCAGGUGAGUACAAUACCAUUAUACAUCUUUUCUUCAAGUUUAGUUAUGUACAUGGUCAUAAAAUUAGUGGGAUAGACAUAGAACAUAUGUAAUUUUUUAAUGGAUUUUUCUUUUGUUUUCAAAAGAACUUAUCAAGGAGGCUAUUGCUUUGCUAUAACAUAUCUUGAACAAUACGCCACUUCAAUAGAAAGGUUAGCUCUUUCAGAUUAUAUUCUCUAGAACUUUAAAUAUCCAUCUUCUUUAGUAUUUUCAUUAGAUGUUUGUUCUCAUUGAGUUUUUCUUAUAUUGUUUUAUGAUUAUUCUUGUUUGAUUUACUCCCUUUUGCAUAUCUUUAGGUUCCUGAGGCCUUCUAUUUGAGAAAGUAAUUGGUAAUUGUCUUAGGGUUAAUUGGGGUUUAAUUUUUUUGAAGAUAUAUUUGAGGUUUUGAGUUUAAGAUAAGGUUAUAAUACUUGAUUUGUGAGCUUGGGUUUGUUCAAUCAGUAAAAUGAGUUGAGAAAGUAAUGGAAAUUGGUCUAGUUACUUUUCUGGAUCUGGCUGAUGUCAUUUUGGCAAAUGGAAUGUUCAGCCCCUAUAAUCAAGCUCAAAUUGCUUGAGUAGAUUGAGAAACAUUUGCAUUGUUGAAGAAAGACAACCUUUAGAAAGAUGCACUGGGAAUCUCUGGUGGCUGGUGAUCAUGAACUUGCCAGCAAGUCACUUGUUUACUUUAUUGAAAAGGUAAUCCCUCAUUCCAAAUACAUAGAAAAGUUAUAUGCUGAUUGAUAAUGGUUUAUGAUAUGGAAUUUAUCUCACCCGGUGAUCAAUCCAAACAAUAAAGAAUCUUUUGUAGAAUUGAUUGGUGGAAGGCAAAUGGGAAUGUGUGAGAAACUUAAAGACCUUCUGAAGGUUUUAUUUCCUCCCCCUUAAUGAAUUUUAUCUGAAAUUUUUUUACUUCAACAAAUUGUGCUUGAUUUGACUUUUUUUUCUUUUUCUAAUGGUAAACUGUGUUCUGUUUAUAGAAUAUGGACAACAAUCUCGCAUGAAAGCAUAUACUAAAGUUGUUGUAGCUUUUGUAGAAAAUGGGGAGUUUGACAAAAUCUUGAUUUAAUCAAAAUAGGUGAUUGCAACUUUUGUUUUCUUGAAUUUGUCCUGAUAUUUUCUAUGCUAUUAAUGUGAGCUUUCCCUUUUAAAAGCCUAUCAGAUUUGGGGAGAUUAUUUUCUCCUCUAGAUCAGUAUCAAAGAUUCAUUAUUAAAUGGCAUCCUUGAGUUGGUUACAAUGUCUUCCUUCUAUAAAAAAUUCCUUGUAGAAAUCUGUAGGUUAGUUACUGUUUUCUGUAGCUUUUAGUAUUUGAGAUUUGGAAGUUUGUGGAAUCAUAAGUACAACUGAUAAGCAUGUUAAAAUGUGUUAAAUAUUUAAAUCAAAGCCUUUUAAGUAAUUUUAUAAAUAUUCUUAUUAAAUUAAAGUCUCUUUUUAGCAUUUUCCAACCCAUAGAAGUUAGUAUUAUGAAUUUUUUUGAUGAUAUAGGAUUUCUGUAUGGAGAAACUAUUUUUCUUAGAAAUAUCAGUUGUCAUUUAAUGUUUUACUCAUAGAGAUCUAUUAAUUUUGCAUUGAUGAUGUCUCAAAAGGAUAGAGGUUAUCCAGGUGAGUACAAUGCCAUUAUACAUCUUUUCUUCAAGUUUUGUUAUGUCAAUUGGUUGUAAAAGUAGUGAGAUAUAUACAGAACAAAUGUAAAUUUUUAAUGGAUUUUUCUUUUUGUUUUCAAAGAAACUUAUUGAGGAGGCUACUGCUUUGCUAUACCUAAUGUUGAAAGAUUUGCCACUUUAAAAGAAAGAUUAGCUCUUUCCAGAUUAUAUUCUCUAAAACUUUAAAUAUCCAUCUUCUGUAGUAUUUCAUUAGAUGCAUGUUCUCAUUAUGUUUUUCUUAUGUUGUGUUAUGAUUAUUCUUGUUUGAUUUUUUUCCCUUUUGCAUAUCUUUAGGUUCCCUUUUAUUUGAGAAAGUAAUGGAUAAUUGUCCUAGGGUUGCAUUGGGGUUCAAUUUAUUUAGGAUAUAUUUGAGGUUGAGUUUAAGUUAAGGUUAUAAUAGUUUAAGUGUAUAUUAAAGUUGUUGCAGCUUUUGUCGAAAGUAGGGAGUUUGACAAAAUCUUGAUUUAAUCAAAAUAGGUGAUUGCAAGAUUUUUUUUUUUGAAUUUGUACUGGCAUUUUCUAUGUUAUUAAUGUGAGAUUUCCCUUAUAAAAGCCUAUCAGAUUUCGAGAGAUAUUUUUCUCCUCUAGAUCAGCAUCAAAGUUUCAUGGUUAAAUGGCGUUCUCAGGUUGGUUACAAUGUCUUCCUUCUGCAAAAAUUUCAUUGCAGAAAUCUACAGGUUAGUUGCUGUUUUCUACAGCUUUUAGUAUUUGAGAUUUGGAAGCUUUGUGGAAUCAUAAGUACAACCAAUAAACAAGUUAAAAUGUGUUAAAUAUUUAAAUUAAAGCCUUUGAAGUCAAUUUUAUAAAUAUUCUUAUUAAAUUAAAAUAUCUUUUUAGCAUUUUCCAACCAAUAGAUAUUAAUAUUUUGAAUUUUUUUGAUGUAAUAGGAUUUUUGUAGUUGUCAUUGGAGAAACUAUUUUUUUAGGAAGAUAAGUUAUCAUUUAAUUAUUUUCUCAUAGAGAUCUACUAAUUUUGCAUUGAUGAUAUCUCAUAAGGAGGGAGGUUAUCCAGGUGAGUACAAUACCAUUAUUCAUCCUUUCUUCAAGUUUAGUUAUGUCAAUGGUUGUAAAAGUAGUGGGAUAUACAUAGAACAUAUUUAAUUUUUUAAUGGAUUUUUCUUUUGUUUUCAAAAGAACUUAUUGAGGAGGCUACUGCUUUGAACAAUAUGCCACUUCAAAAGAAAGGUUAGCUCUUUUCAGAUUAUAUUCUCUAAACUUUAAAUAUCCAUCUUCUUAAGUAUUUCAUUAGAUGUUUGUUCUCUUUGAGUUUCUUAUUGAGAAACAUUUGCAUUAUUGAAGAAAGACAACCUUUACAAAGAUGGAAUGGAAAUAUGCAGUGGCUGGUGAUCAUGAACUUGCCAGCAAGUCGCUUAUUUACUUUAUUGAAAAGGUAAUCGCUCAUUCCAAAUAUGCAGAAAAGUUAUAUGCUGACUGAUAAUGGUUUAUAAUUAGGAAUUUUUCUCGCCUGGUGAUCAAUCUAAACAAAGAAGAAUCUUUUGUAGAAUUGGUUGGAAGAAGGCAAAUUGGAAUGUGUGAGGAACUUGGAGGCCUUUAGAAGGUUUGAUUUCCACCACCCUAAUGAAUUUUUUCUAAAUUUUUUUACUUCAACAAAUUGUACAUGAUUUGACCUUUUUUUUUUAAAUUUUUUCUAAUGGUAAACUGUGUUCUCAUUAUAGACUAUGGACGAUGAUCUUGCAUGAAAGCGUAUAUUAAAGUUGUUGCAGCUUUUGUAGAAAAUAAGGAGUUUGACAAAAUCUUGAUUUAAUCAAAAUAGGUGAUUGCAACCAUUUUUUUUUUUUUUGGAAUUUGUACUGACAUUUUCUAUGCUAUUAAUGUGAGAUUUCUCUUAUAAAAGUCUAUCAUAUUUGGAGAGAUUAGUUUCUCCUUUAGAUCAGCAUCAAAGAUUCAUAGUUAAAUUGCGUUUAUUAUAGUGUCUGUUACAAUGUCUUCCUUCCGCAAAAAAUUCCUUGUAGAAAUUUGCAGGUUAGUUACUGUUUUCUGCAGCUUUUAGUAUUUGAGAUUUGGAAGCUUGUGGUAUCAUAAGCACAACCGAUAAACAAGUUAAAAUGUGUUAAAUAUUCAAAUUAAAGCCUUUUAAGUCAAAUUUAUAAGUAUUCUUAUUGAAUUAAAAUCUCUUUUUAGCAUUUUCCAUCCAAUAGAUGUUAAUAUUUUGAAUUUUUUUUAUGGAAUCGGAUUUUUGUAGUUAUCAUCAAGAAAUUAUUUUUUUAGGAAGAUCAAUUAUCAUUUAAUUAUUUACUCAUUGAGAUUUACUAAUUUUGCAUUGAUAAUGUGUCAAAAGAAGGGAGGUUAUCCAGGUGAGUACAAUACCAUUAUACAUCUUUUCUUCAAGUUUAGUUACGUCAAUGGUUGUAAAAGUAGUGAGAUAUGCACAGAAGGUAUGUAAUUUUUUAAUGGAUUUUUCUUUUUGUUUUCAAAACAUCUUAUCGAGGAGGCUACUGCUUUGCUAUACCAUAUGUUGAACGAUAUGCCACUUCAAAAGGAAGGUUAGCUCUUUUCAAAUUAUAUUCUCUAAAACUUUUAAAUAUCCAUCUUCUUUAGUAUUUCAUUAGAUGUCUAUUCUCAUUGAGUUUUUCUUAUAUUGUGUUUUGAUUUUUUCCCUUUUGCAUAUCUUUAGGUUCCUAAGGCCUUCCAUUUGAGAAAGUAAUGGAUAAUUGUCUUAUUGCAUUGGGGUUUAAUUUAUUUGGUAUAUAUUUUUGGUUUUGAGUUUAAGUUAAAGUUAUAAUAUUUGAUUUGUGAGCUUAGGUUUGUUCAAUCGGUAAAAUGAGUUUAGUGUGUUUGUGAUCUGGUGGUCUGUACGAAGCUUAAUGACCUGUAUGCUCCAAGAAUGACUUGCAGUAUGGAGGAAUUAAGUAUUCUAAAUUUGUAUGAAUGUGUGUGUAUAGGAGGAAUUAGGGAUUCAAAAUUUGUGUAGCUGUGUGUAUGGGAGUUUUCUUAUUGUUUUUAUCUUUGUGCCAUGACAUAUAGGUUUCUUAGGUUUCAUUGGCUUGGGUUUUUUAGUGAUUGAUGAUGUUGCUGUCAAAUUUUUAAUUGUGGUUGCAUCUAAUUUGAUGAAGUUUAAGUUAAAGAAUAUAACUGGUAAUGAAGUUUAAGUUACUGAUGAUGUUACUGCAAGAGAAAUAUUUGGGUUGUGGUUUCUUCAUUCUUGAGUGUGAUUGGUUGUCAUCUGUUUGCCACUUUGAAUUUUACCUUGCAGAGUAGGAGGUAUUAAAGUUUCAAAUUUUCUAAGCUUGUGUGUUUGUACGGAAUUUCUAUGUUUGUGUGUUUGUUGGGAAUUUUUGUUUUGCUGGUUUUGUUCUGCUGUUCGGUUUCUAGGUUUCAUUCCCAUGGCUUCUAAUUCUUAAUGGUUAAUGUGUAAUUUUUUGUUUUAGUGCUUUUGACUUGAUGAAGUUUGAUCUGAACUUCAAUUAAUAUUUGAUCUCUUAUGCUUUAACAUUCCAUUUAAAUUCUAGUUUAGCUUGCAUUUUUUAUCUUCUGUGUAUAGAGUUUAGUUUUGGAAAAUUUUCUUUUGAAUAAUCCUUGGUUUGUGGUUUUUUAAUUGUGUUUGUCAUUUGAUAGUCUAUACGGAGCUUAGUGCGAGCUUAGUUGGCUGUGUACCAAGCACGAUUUGCUAGAGAAAUGAAUUAGAAAUUAUAUUGCGGUAUGGUCCAAAUUUGUAUGGCUACACUUUUGUAUGUGUUGGGAUUUUCUUCUUGGUUUGCUGGUUCAACUUUGUUGCAUGACAAAUUUUAAUCUUAGGUUUAAUUUCAAAAAUUUAAUCUAGACGAACAAUGAGGUUGAGUACUUACCCUGUAACAGAGCCUCUUUCUUCUUGAUUCUUGAUCAUGCAUUUUGUUUUCUUGCGUCUUGAUUAUUUAUGUUUUGCAGGUUUCACUCUAUUUGUUGCAUGAUGGAUUGUUUCCUUAGGAUUAACUUCAGAAACUUAAAUCUGGACAAGCACUGAGAUGGAAGAUUGUCUCUUUUUUAUUGGAUUCUUUCAAAAUCCAUGAUCUUCCUUAGCAUUUUUGUUGUAAUGUCAUGGUAACUCUAAAUAUCCUUCAUGUUUGGCCA